AGACUCCGGAGAGCGAUCUCCUCUGAGCCCACCGGCGUCAUAAACCUGAGUUCUCCAACUCUCCGAGUGCUCGCUUGGUUUCUCGCCGGGUCAAAGAGCUGAUCCACUGCAGCCACAGAGCUGCUGGAGCUGGGACACGACAGCCACAGGGCUGUCGCCAGAACUGAUACGCUGCGGCCCAGGGCUUCUGGGCAGCUGCCAUAACACUGCCACGAGCAGAGGAAAGAGAAGUUGGGCCACGAGCAGGAAAAAGUGCAACUACAGACGGCGGAGACGGUAGCGUUGCACUCGACGGAAUCGCAACCAAACAGUGGCUACACCUUUUUGGAAUCCUGGCAGGUGUGUGAAACUGGCAUGGAAGAAGACCAACCGGGACACGCGCCUUCCGACGAAUGAACUGGGAGCCUGGGGUCUGUACAAUGCUCCAUUUUAUAAGCCAGGCUUCCCCUGACAGGUGAAAACUACAAAAAUUAGAACAGGGCCCACACACCCCAUUCCAGGUCUUACUUGACAUGGCCUUUAAGGUCUCAGGGAAGAGGCUUGUAAGUAUUGAGGGAAAUUUUUUCCGACCCUAAAGGAACAAAGUCAUCCUCUAGGAACUAGCCCGUGCCUUUGAGAUGCAAAUGUCUUACCUGACCUUCUGAAAUCCUUCUCUCACCAUCUUUUUGAAAUACAAAUUUCAGGAAAAGGGUCUAAGUUGGAAGUUGAAUUCUCAGGGACAAAGAAGUCCUAUGUCUUGUUCAUAAGCAUUAUUAAAAGGGGGGGUUAGCCAUCUAGACAGGUGACAAUGAUUUAUUCCAUCUGCCAGAAACCCAGUUUGAACCCAGUGUCUCUUGUAACUGACAGGUUUUAUACAGAUGUACCUUAUUCAUGGCUGAAACUUCGAAAUGGGAAAUAUGAGGUCUCUGUUUUGCUUGUUUGUACAUGUCUUUGUGUGUGUUAUGUAUGUAUGGCAUUGCCAAAAUUAAUUCUUAAAAGAGCUCAACUUAAUUGGCUUAAAGGAAAUUAAGCACUUACAUAAAUUCUCAAAAUACAUAAGGUAAAUUUUUGGUUCAUGUGAACUGGAAAAUACUCAGUAUUUGAUAUUCAUUUUUAGAUGUUAAUAUUGAAAUUAAAAUUUGUUUUUUUACUUUUAUUUUUUUGUUUUAGGGCCACACCCGAGGCAUAUGGAAUUUCCCUGGUGUGGGGUCUAAAUCAGCUGUGGCUGCUGGCCUAAACCACAGCCACAGUAACAUGGGAUCUGAGCCUGCAACCUACACCACGGCUCACAGCAGUGCUGGAUCCUUAACCCACUGAGUAAGGCCAGGGAUCGAACCUGCAUCCUCAUGGAUCCUAGUCGGGUUCAUUAACUGCUGAGCCACGAAGGGAACUCCAAGAUUAAAUUUUGUUGAUCUAAUUAAUAUAGACAUGUCUUUAGAGUCAUCGACAUAAGUAUAAUACCUAUUGUACCUAAGUUUGAUAAAAGUCAAAUGAGAUACUGAGACUUCAGUUACAAAACAGAGAAACUGAAGUCAUUUAAGACUAUUAAUCGGUAUGUUCAGUGCCAUCCUGAGAUGUUCAACAAGAAAGCGCAUGCCUUUAGAAACGAUAAAAGACAGUCCAUGGUUGCUUCAGAAUGUAGGAAAAGUGCCGGAGGCCAGCUCCAGCAACCAGGUCUGGCAGCCAGGGUGUAUACAUCCCGAUGGGAGAUGAGAUGGGAGAUGAACGGCGUUGGCUUUUGCAACGGAGACAGCCUCUUUGUCCCUUCUCUCAGGGCGCUGGACUGCUCAAAUUUUAUUAGCGUAAGUGGUUGAUUAUAUAGGCAGUUUUUUUAUUACAGAUUACAUCAUAGUGUUAAAAGUACAUUGGUUAACUAUUAGGCUUUGUUUUUUGAUCACAUGGUACAGUAGCAAUACAUCAUGUUUUAAAAUCUUCAGUUUAACUAAAUUUAGUGAGUACAAUUCAAGGACAAACAGGCACAGGAUAUCAUAUGGGAAAGAGGAGACCCAGUACAAACCAUCUCAUGGCCAGCCAGUUCCCACAAGCUGAAGAAAUUACAGACACAAAAAACUCAUCUUCAGACUAGUGUCUAUCUUUAAAGUGUCCUUGGCAGGGAAACAGUAUGAGAAAAUACAAAUCAACUUAGCUGCUACCGCUAAAAUUUUCUAAAGUCAAGGACAAAACUCACAGCUGGGUUUCUUUUGAUGAAGAAUAAUAUAUGUCUAACUUCUAUAGACCUCAUUAAAAUCCUAACUUUAAAGUUUACUGUAUAACUAGUUAGUAGAUAAACACGAUGUUUUAAUUAAGUUGGAUUUAAAUAGGGGAAAGUCCUUCAGGAUGAAAUUCUUAUAUUAUUUUUGUAAUUUUGUUGAAGCACAAACCAAAUCACCACAGGAAAAUAAGAAUGGUAAAUAAGAAUAAUAAGCAAAUAAUCAGGAAAGACUGAGGAAAAACUGAAUAACAAAACAACAGGAAAGACUAGGUCACCGAGAAACAAUGCAUGUUCCCCGGUGCAAACAUGGAAAUUGUUUCCCAGGAAAGCCCCAAUUCUUCCCCAUCAACAUCAAAAUGAGAGCCCUGUAACCUGAAGCCUGCCCUCGGCUUGUACUGUUCAGGCAGGCUUCUAUCCUGACCAGAAGCCCACCUUCGGCAUGUACCCUUCAGGUGAGCUCCCUUCCUUGGUUAGGAACCUGCCUUCAGGUUUUUCUGCCGACAGGCAAGGUCCUUUUUUCUGAUUAGGAACCUGCCCUCGGUUUUGCAAGUACAGGCAAGCUCCCUUCCUUGGCUUCUUGUAUCUUCUCGGCUCCCCACAGAAAAAAGUAAGCUAGUUGCAAAACUUGAAUUUGAAUUCGGUCUCUCUGUUAAAACAAGAUUUUUUUGAAAUGCUGCUUUUGAUAACAGAUUAUAUGAAUUUCUUUGCCUUGAAUUUGUAUUUGCUUUUGAAAUCCUUUGUUACGUUGGUUGAAUGAAUAAGUAAUGUGAAACAAUAAUCUAUGAUUCUAUCUGACCAGGUAUUUUUAAACUUUUCCUUGUGUGUUUUUCUUUUCUUUCUUUCUUUCUUUUUUUUUUUUUUUACAAACUAAGUGUAAAUUACAGGGGA
rnacentral:lncRNA from 1 species